rnacentral:tmRNA from 1 species
GCAAGGGGUUCGUCCCCGGCUAUGGCGAUAAACGGUAAGUGAAAUAAGUGUUGUGGACCCGGGGGCAGUGCCCGGCGUCUCCACCA